CCCUGACAUCGCCCACAUUGCCCCCCGCCCCUCUCUCGGACCAAAGGAUCCCCCCUCUCCCUCUCAAAAUUCCCCAGCUCAUCAGAUCCGACUCAACUCACCGAGUCAUGAAAUCGAAUCAACCACCACCACCACAACCCCCCUCCUCCACUAAUCGUCACACCAACAACAGCAGACCGCGUCGCCGCCCUGACUUAACCCUCCCUCUCCCACAACGCGACCCUGCCCUCGCGGUCCCCCUCCCUCUCCCGCCCAACUCCGUCGGCUCAAACCCCUCUUCAUCCUCCGUCUCCUCAGCUCGAGCUCAACUCAGCUUCUCCGAGCUCGACCGAAUCAACCGAAUCGGAAGCGGCAGCGGCGGAACCGUCUACAAAGUCGUCCACCGUCCAACCGGCCGCCUCUACGCUCUCAAAGUCAUCUACGGCAACCACGAAGACUCCGUUCGCAACCAGAUCUGCCGCGAGAUCGAGAUCCUCCGCGACGUCAACCACCCCAACGUCGUUAAAUGCCACGACAUGUUCGAUCACAACGGUGAGAUCCAGGUCCUUCUAGAAUUCAUGGACAACGGUUCCUUAGAAGGGACCCACAUAAACCACGAGGCAUAUCUAUCUGACGUGGCACGGCAGAUAUUAAACGGCAUCGCCUACUUGCAUAAAAGGAAAAUUGUGCACAGAGAUAUUAAGCCAAGUAAUCUGUUAAUGAACUCUAAAAAAAAUGUGAAGAUAGCUGAUUUUGGGGUUAGCAGAAUAUUAGCACAGACGAUGGAUCCUUGCAAUAGCUCAGUAGGAACAAUUGCUUACAUGAGCCCAGAAAGGAUAAACACUGAUCUGAAUCAAGGAUUGUAUGAUGGGUAUGCAGGGGAUAUAUGGAGCUUAGGGGUUAGCAUUUUGGAGUUCUAUUUAGGGAGGUUUCCAUUUGGUGUAGGAAGACAAGGGGAUUGGGCAAGUUUAAUGUGCGCAAUUUGUAUGUCACAACCACCGGAGGCGCCGGCGAGUGCAUCAAGGGAGUUUAGGAAUUUUAUUGCUUGUUGCCUGCAGAGGGAGCCGUCGAGGAGGUGGACUGCCAAUCAGUUGUUGCAGCAUCCGUUUAUUGUGAGAAGAGGUGGAGGUGGAGAGGGGGGUGGUGGAAAUGGUACUCAUAGCUUGAUGUUGCCGCCGCCUCCUAGGCCAAUUGCUUAGUAGGGUUUUGAAGAUAUAGUUAAGAAAGAAGGUUUGAUUUUUGUUAGUGAUGAGUGGUUUAAUUUUUAAUUUUUUGCCAUUUCUGUUUUACAGUUCCAGGUGGGUGUAAAGAUUCAGAAGGAAUCGUGCAAACUUCUUUUACAGGCCAGCACACAUGGGCUAGGCUUGGCGAUGCUAGCUUCCAUGCAAGACGUUACUUACCUUAAGAAUAUAAUGAGUUGAGCACCGUUCUUUUUGUAUGCCACUGGACUUGAGUGAACUUGCCCAUAGCAAGAGCAUAAAAAAUUUCUCACAACUUUGGGGUCACUUGUUGAAUAACCACUCACCCAACAUGGUCUACACUGUCCGUAGUUUUCGGGGUAUGAAUCUGUCGAUCAAUCUGGUGGGUACUUUUCAAUGAAAAGGGCAUUUGGCAUAUAUUCUCUUCGCUUUUUGGAUCCUUGUUCCUGCAAGUGUAGCUGGUUCCUGGUGCAUGAAUGGUCUCCGUUGCUUUCUUGAGAUUUCUUCUUUAUCUUAUAAGUGCUCAAAGCAUUUAGACGACUACUAGUAGGGGCCAGCGAACGUGUUGAAUUGGCAAAGAUUUGGUGCGAUUUGUAUUCAAAGUGGAAGUGCUUUUAGCUCUUCAUUCUCUUUCUAUAUAUCCAUAAACAUGAUAAUCACAUAAAAGCAAAUCCUACAGGGCUAAAUUCUCUGUUAGGCUAAAUCUUCCCUUCGCUAUUUCACAUCAUUC